AUGCCCAGUAACGGCGAAGUGAAGCGGCAACAGCUCCAAAUUUGAAAUCUGGCCCCAGGCCCGAGUUGUAAUUUGCAGAGGAUGCUUUUGGCGCGGUGCCUUCCGAGUUCCCUGGAACGGGACGCCAUAGAGGGUGAGAGCCCCGUACGGUUGGACACCAAGCCUUUGUAAAGCUCCUUCGACGAGUCGAGUAGUUUGGGAAUGCUGCUCUAAAUGGGAGGUACAUUUCUUCUAAAGCUAAAUAUUGGCCAGAGACCGAUAGCGCACAAGUAGAGUGAUCGAAAGAUGAAAAGCACUUUGAAAAAGAGGGUUAAACAGCACGUGAAAUUGUUAAAAGGGAAGCGCUUGUGACCAGACUUGCGUCCGGUGAAUCACCCAGCUCUCGCGGCUGGGGCACUUCGCCGGCACAGGCCAGCAUCAGCUUGCCGUCGGGGGACAAAAGCUUCAGGAACGUGGCUCCUCUCGGGGAGUGUUAUAGCCUGUUGCACAAUACCCUUCGGCGGGCUGAGGUACGCGCUCCGCAAGGAUGCUGGCGUAAUGGUCAUCAGCGACCCGUCUUGAAACACGGACCAAGGAGUCAACCUUAUGUGCGAGUGUUUGGGUGUUAAACCCCUACGCGUAAUGAAAGUGAACGCAGGUGAGAGCUUCGGCGCAUCAUCGACCGAUCCUGAUGUUCUCGGAUGGAUUUGAGUAAGAGCAUAUAGGGUUGGACCCCGAAAGAAGGUGAACUAUGCGUGUGUAGGGUGAAGCCAGAGGGAAACUCUGGUGGAGGCUCGCAGCGGUUUCUGACGUGCAAAUCGAUCGUCAAACAUGCGCAUGGGGGGCGAAAGACUAAUCGAAACCUUUCUAGUAGCUGGGUUCCGCGAG
rnacentral:rRNA from 1 species